rnacentral:rRNA from 1 species
UACGGAGGGGGCUAGCGUUGUUCGGAAUUACUGGGCGUAAAGCGCGCGUAGGCGGCUUUGUAAGUUAGAGGUGAAAGCCCGGAGCUCAACCUCGGAAUUGCCUUUAAGACUGCAUCGCUUGAAUCAUGGAGAGGUCAGUGGAAUUCCGAGUGUAGAGGUGAAAUUCGUAGAUAUUCGGAAGAACACCAGUGGCGAAGGCGACUGACUGGACAUGUAUUGACGCUGAGGUGCGAAAGCGUGGGGAGCAAACAGG